rnacentral:lncRNA from 1 species
UCUCGGUCUCACCUUCCAGCCCCUCCUCGUCGCUCCAGAACGGCCGCGUCCUUGGGCAGCUCCCCCGUCGAUCCAGUCCCCGUGCUCGAAGUGUGCUGGCGAGAGCGUCCUCAGGAACGUGGAGCCGCCGCGUCCGCCGAAGGCGCCAAAGGGAGCAGCGGCGCUCGGAACCUCGCGAGAGCCAGAGCGAGGCUGGGGUUGUGGAUGUGGUCGGCGUAGUGUGGUGGAGUGUGGCUGAGUCGCGAGGUAAGGCUCUCUUGUUCUCGGCCCUCUAAACUCUCUCUACUCUCCGAUCUCUCCUCCUGCUAGCUCUCCAUCCUCUGUCCCUCUCCGUUUCUCUGUGUUCCCUCCUCUUUCGAGAGUCCUCCUCCGCUCCUUUUCUUCUCUCCGCGGACGCCCGGCCUUCUGUCGUGCCAGCUGCCCUUGCCGGCCUGAUCCACGACCACCACCUCCAGCCGAUCGUCCCCUGAUUCGGCUGUUCCCUCUGCUCCCCUCUACUGUUGCUGCUUUUCUUCCUUUCUUGCAGGCGCGCGCGAAGGACGGCAAGAGGGAGACGACCAGCUCGUGCGCGGGCUGGGCUGAAGGGGAAAAAGGGCUGGGCCGAGCCCAGCGCAAGGGAAAGAGAAAAGGAAAGAGAGGAAAGGGGCCAGCCCAAGGCUUGUCCCAACCCGGUCCGACUGCCCCUCUUUUUUCUUUUUAAUUUCAAAUUUUUUAAUUUUAAUUUUUUUGACAAAUUUUAAAACUAAUGACGCAAAUGCUCCUAAUGUCUAUAUGUGAUGCAAUUUUAAUGAAAUUUUUUUGUUAAGGGGUUAGAAAUUAAUUCCUAAUUUUUUAAUGUAAUUAAUAAACACUUAAACAAAUCGUCAAAAUUUAGGUGUGGAUAUACACCCACACGCAUAAUUUGGAAAAAAUUUCUUAUUUACGGUUUCCUCAGACAAGAGGUUCCUAAUAGGAGGUGAGGAUAGGAAUUGUUUUGUAAAGAAGUGAGUCACAAGUGAGAGCAGAAAAGCGCAAAAUCAACAUCAUCUCUAACUCUUGAAAUAAAACUUUUUUGUGUUACAGUUUCCACGUAUAUUUUUCACGAGGAUAGAGUAUCUACUGAACUCUAUUCUUCAUCUGCGAAGCAAAGUUAAACUAACUCAAGGAACUCAUUGCAUGGCAUGAGCUUGAUUGAUCUAGGAUCAAUUAUGGGAACUUCAAAUAAGAGAAUGUUAGAAAACUGCUCAAGAAUGAUCUUGGGUUCUUUAAAUGAGUUACAGUGGAUGUCUUGUUCUUGAACAAGGCUGAGGAGAUAGAUAUUGACGUGGUUUCCUUUUGGCAUUCUAUUUCAGAUAGAUAGCCACAUUAAACGACUCGAUGAGGAUUUAAAGAACUUCGCAGAAGAUCUCAAGCAAGGUACGGGAUAUUUCCUCUGGUGUGGCAAAGUUGAUACUCAUUACUUUGAGUUAGGCAUGUGGACUAGGCAGUGUUGUCUCCAACAAGUUUUGGCUUGCGAGUUCCUGAUUUGUUAUUGUUCGUGGAUUUAUU